rnacentral:rRNA from 1 species
ACUGCUCAGUAACACGUGGCUAAUCUGCCCUUAGGACGAGAACAACCCCGGGAAACUGGGGCUAACUCUUGAUAGGCGAAGAACUCUGGAAUGAGUCUUUACCUAAAAAGAUUCACGUUAUCCUCGUGAACCUGCCUAAGGAUGAGGCCGCGACCGAUCAGGUUGUUGGUGAGGUAAUGGCUCACCAAGCCUUUUACCGGUGCGGGCCGUGGGAGCGGGAGCCCGGAGAUGGGUACUGAGACAAGGACCCAGGCCCUGCGGGGCGCAGCAGUCGCGAAACCUUUGCAAUACACGAAAGUGUGACAGGGCUAUCCCGAGUGCCAUCCGCUGAGGAAGGCUUUUACCCAGUCUAGAACGCUGGGGGAAUAAGGAGAGGGCAAGUCUGGUGUCAGCCGCCGCGGUAAUACCAGCUCUCCGAGUGGUGUGGAUGUUUAUUGGGCCUAAAGCAUCCGUAGCUGGCUAGGUAAGUCCCUUGUUAAAUCCACCGAAUUAAUCGUUGGAUCGCGGGGGAUACUGCUUGGCUAGGGGACGAGAGAGGCAGACGGUAUUUUCGGGGUAGGGGUGAAAUCCUAUAAUCCCGG